GACGAACGCUGGCGGCGUGCCUAACACAUGCAAGUCGAGCGAGUGGAUCUCCUUCGGGAGAGAAGCUAGCGGCGGACGGGUGAGUAACACGUGGGCAACCUGCCUCAUAGAGGGGAAUAGCCUCCCGAAAGGGAGAUUAAUACCGCAUAAGAUUGUAGCUUCGCAUGAAGUAGCAAUUAAAGGAGUAAUCCGCUAUGAGAUGGGCCCGCGGCGCAUUAGCUAGUUGGUGAGGUAACGGCUCACCAAGGCGACGAUGCGUAGCCGACCUGAGAGGGUGAUCGGCCACAUUGGGACUGAGACACGGCCCAGACUCCUACGGGAGGCAGCAGUGGGGAAUAUUGCACAAUGGGGGAAACUCUGAUGCAGCAACGCCGCGUGAGUGAUGACGGCCUUCGGGUUGUAAAGCUCUGUCUUCAGGGACGAUAAUGACGGUACCUGAGGAGGAAGCCACGGCUAACUACGUGCCAGCCGCCGCCGUAAAAC
rnacentral:rRNA from 1 species